rnacentral:rRNA from 1 species
UACGUAGGCAGCGAGCGUUGUUCGGAAUUACUGGGCGUAAAGAGUGUGUAGACGGUGCUCUAAGUUCGGUGUGAAAUCUCCUGGCUCAACUGGGAGGGUGCGCCGGAAACUGGAGUGCUUGAGCGUGGGAGAGGAAAGCGGAAUUCCUGGUGUAGCGGUGAAAUGCGUAGAUAUCAGGAGGAACACCUGUGGUGUAGACGGCUUUCUGGACCAUAGCUGACGCUGAGACACGAAAGCGUGGGUAGCAAACAGG